GAAAGUGAAGGUCGAUCUUAGCGUCGACCGAGGGAGGAUGGCUCGCGUCACGAUGCGAGCCCGCACUCCCGGGGCGUCUCGUGCUCAUUGCGAGCAGAGGCGCACCCAGAGCGUACACGUUGGGACCCGAAAGAUGGUGAACUAUGCCUGGUCAGGACGAAGUCAGGGGAAACCCUGAUGGAGGUCCGUAGCGAUUCUGACGUGCAAAUCGAUCGUCGGAACUGGGUAUAGGGGCGAAAGACUAAUCGAACCAUCGCGAGUCUCAUCUGGUAAAGCGAAUGAUUAGAGGCCUGGGGGCCGAAACGACCUCAACCUAUUCUCAAACUUUAAAUGGGUGAGAUCUCUGGCUUGCUUGAACGUUGAAGCCACGAGAUAUU
rnacentral:rRNA from 1 species